AAUGGGAUAGCUAGGUCAAAUGGUGGUUCCAUUCCAAGUUUUCGAAGGAAUCUCCAUACUGCUUUCCAGAUUGGCUGCACUAAUUUGCAGUCCCGCCAGCAAU
rnacentral:pre_miRNA from 1 species